UACGAAGGGGGGCUAGCGUUUGCUCGGGAAUCACUGGGCGUAAAGGGCGCGUUAGGUGGACACUUAAGUCAGAGGUGAAAUCCCAAGGCUCAACCUUGGAAUUGCCUUUUGAUACUGGGUGUCUUGAGAUCGGUAGGAGGUAAGUGGAACUGCGAGUGUAGAGGUGAAAUUCGUAGAUAUUGCAAGAACACCAGUGGCGAAGGCGGCUUUACUGGACCGAUUCUGACGCUGAGGGCGGCGAAAAGCGUGGGGAGCAAACAGGG
rnacentral:rRNA from 1 species